GACGAACGCUGGCGGCGUGCUUAACACAUGCAAGUCGAACGGAAAGGCCCUGCUUUUGUGGGGUGCUCGAGUGGCGAACGGGUGAGUAACACGUGAGUAACCUGCCCUUGACUUUGGGAUAACUUCAGGAAACUGGGGCUAAUACCGGAUAGGAGCUCCUGCUGCAUGGUGGGGGUUGGAAAGUUUCGGCGGUUGGGGAUGGACUCGCGGCUUAUCAGCUUGUUGGUGGGGUAGUGGCUUACCAAGGCUUUGACGGGUAGCCGGCCUGAGAGGGUGACCGGCCACAUUGGGACUGAGAUACGGCCCAGACUCCUACGGGAGGCAGCAGUGGGGAAUACUGCACAAUGGGCGGAAGCCUGAUGCAGCAACGCCGCGUGCGGGAUGACGGCCUUCGGGUUGUAAACCGCGUUCGCCUGUGACGAAGCGUGAGUGACGGUAAUGGGUAAAGAAGCACCGGCUAACUACGUG
rnacentral:rRNA from 1 species